rfam:Pantoea sp. AS1 25__len__192833, whole genome shotgun sequence.
CAAGACGAUCCAGUAGCGGAUUUUUUGCUCACAGAGCAGGUCAUUAACCUUGAAAAUUUGAGGCAUGACCUCAUUUUAAUCUCCAGUAGCAUUUUGACCUGUAAUGGGAGGAAUCAUGCGUCUGGAUCGUCUUAC